rnacentral:rRNA from 1 species
UACGUAGGGUGCGAGCGUUAAUCGGAAUUACUGGGCGUAAAGUGUGCGCAGGCGGCCGUGCAAGUCGAGUGUGAAAGCCCCGGGCUUAACUUGGGAAUUGCGCUCGAAACUACGUGGCUGGAGUAUGGCAGAGGAAGGUGGAAUUCCACGUGUAGCGGUGAAAUGCGUAGAGAUGUGGAGGAACACCGAUGGCGAAGGCAGCCUUCUGGGCCAAUACUGACGCUCAUGCACGAAAGCGUGGGGAGCAAACAGG